rnacentral:misc_RNA from 1 species
UUUUACAAUUUUCUAAAACCCAGCUUAUUACCUCUCUCUUAAUUAUGUGAGAUAAAGGGUAAUUUAAUCAAAUUAAGGGCUAUUUUAUUAUGAUUUAAGUAAAUUUAUUACUUUCUUAAUCACCAUGUAAAAACCUUAAACGACAUAUAAAAGUAGACGGAGGAGUAUAUUUUAAUUGUGUUUUACAAUGUUGGAAUGACAGGUCACACUUGUAGGACCGGA